GCUCGGUUCGUCUAGUGAUCUAGGACACCUCACUUUCUAUGAGGAGAUCAUGGGUUUGAAUCCCAUACCGAGUA
rnacentral:tRNA from 1 species